rnacentral:rRNA from 1 species
AACGAACGCUGGCGGCAUGCCUAACACAUGCAAGUCGAACGAGACCUUCGGGUCUAGUGGCGCACGGGUGCGUAACGCGUGGGAACCUGCCCUUAGGUUCGGAAUAACUCCCCGAAAGGGGUGCUAAUACUGGAUAAUGUCUUCGGACCAAAGAUUUAUCGCCUUUGGAUGGGCCCGCGUUGGAUUAGCUAGUUGGUAGGGUAAAAGCCUACCAAGGCGACGAUCCAUAGCUGGUCUGAGAGGAUGAUCAGCCACACUGGGACUGAGACACGGCCCAGACUCCUACGGGAGGCAGCAGUGGGGAAUAUUGGACAAUGGGCGAAAGCCUGAUCCAGCAAUGCCGCGUGAGUGAUGAAGGCCUUAGGGUUGUAAAGUUCUUUUACCCGGGAUGAUAAUGACAGUACCGGGAGAAUAAGCUCCGGCUAACUCCGUG